rnacentral:lncRNA from 1 species
CAAAAUGAGUUACAACAUCACAUAUUUAUACUACUCCAUGGAAGGAUCUAGAUACUUGAAUGAUUAUACAAGUUUAUAGAAUUCUCUAGAUUGAUGCCAAUGAAUUUUAUUUGAGAAGUAUCUAGUAUCCUCCUAGAAUUGUCUAGUUUAAUACAUUGAUUUUUAUGAAAGAUUUUUCUAGCUUGUACAAGAUGAUUCUAGAACACCUCAUGUUAAUCAAGUUUAAUCUUA